AAGUUAGGAAAAUAAUUGGGCCUAGGUCGAUUCCACAAGAGGAGGAUGAAGGGCUUUGGUUAUUUUGAAAACUGCCCAACUUUUAGCUAGUAAGUGGUGGAGUGCAGACUAGAAACUACUUCCUGGGAAUCCUGAGUUACCACAGUUACGACGACAGUUUGCAGCCUGGCUACAUUAUACCGGCCUAGCCCACGGGUUGGUAUCCCCUUGGACCAAAUCCUGCCACCUGCAUUCUUUUGUAAAUAAAGUUUUACUGGAACACA